AGAUAAGACACAAGCUGUGCAAACAAACUCUGCGGAUAUAUAUACUAAUAGGCUAGCAUCUAUUUGCGUUCUAAAGACCAUGUUUCCACGGGCUUAGGGUUCAGCUGGGACCGCCUUCUUGUCACGCAACUGCCCGUACUGAGUCGAAACAAAGUCGUUUGCUUUAAACCGUGUUACAACGUGAAGCGGUACUACUUGGAAAAAUUAUACUUAAUGAUAACAAAGCUCAAAGGUCGUGACGGAUUCGCUCCGAACGUACGGUGACGUAAACGUCUGUCGAGCCUGCUAGUCCCGUCUUAAUAGCUUCGAAUUGGACGUAGACGAUAAGCUCAUAGCGCGGCAUUUUCUGUUGUUUCCAUCGAAACGUGCAUGGUCACUACUUUUCUGCAGACGACCCCCUUGUGCGUUCCAUGGAAAUGUGCAGUACAAGAGUCGCACAUAUCAACCAUGGCGCAGUAUUAGGUACGCAGGAACUGAACCCACAACCCGUUGAAUCCAGUCUACUUAUUGUGAUGCUGUUUAUCCUGUUUCUCGUGCUGACCAUGGACGCUCUCAUAAUCGUGCGGCAUUACACGUUCCGCGAUGCCUUCGUCUGUAACGAUUACUCGCCUUGUGUCUGUGAAAUUUACGAACCCUACGGAUUGGUUGUGCAUUGCGGAGACGCUGUGAACGCAAAGUUAUCCGUCACGGUUCUCGACGUUCGCAAAGCUUUAAAUAGCACAAAGGUUAGACAUAUUUAUUGGCUUGAUUUGGUCUCCUUGUCUACAGAGAGCCAAUCUAGCGACAUCAUCAACAUACCAGCCGAUUUGCUGAAUGGCAAAAGCGUCGAUCGAAUCGCCAUCAAUUGUUCCUCGAUUGCUGGCCCUCUGCGCUUGGAAAUCCAUCCGGACGCUUUCCGAUCAUCGCUCCAACACAUCGGACAUUUUGAAGUAGCCGGAUGCGACCUUAGCCGGCUGGAUUUCGAUUUCUUGGCCAAUAGUAGUCGACUAAUGAGUUUGAGUAUUACUCGCUCCAUUCAUUUUCGAGGAUUCCCACCGAUGGCUUUUCUCGCCCGUCUCACAUCGUUGAGAGUUUACGAAUGCCUUGAUUUUCAGUACUGGAAUCAAAUUGCCGAUCGACUGCCUCUGUUGGAAUCUCUUUUCUUGGACGGAACUCAGCUAGGAGACCGUUCUGUGAAUAAACUAGUCAAUUCGAUUGCUUCAUCGCCAACUGGAAACGAAACUCUGCAACAACUGAGUUUAUGGGAAAAUCGAUUGACGCGUGUCCCAGACGGCGUCAGUUCUUUCAAGAAGUUGAGCUACGUCAAUUUUUUCGGAAAUGCCAUCCGCACAAUUCCUAGAGGUUCACUCGCCUUUAGUCAAGACGUUCGCGUCACGUUCCUUAUCUUGUCUAAAAAUGAGCUGACGGACAUCGAGCCAGGGGCUUUCCAGGGCGAUUUCACUGAAGCUCUCGUUUAUCUCGACUUCAAUCGGCUGACUCGAUUCGAUUCGGCCGUUUACGAAGACAUGCUGCAACAGAUGAGCUACGUGACGUCCACCGCUGGCCUUUACGUCCACAACAAUUCUUUCGUCUGUGACGAUUGCCAUCUCUCGUGGUUGAUUCGAGACAAGCGAUACCUUUUGAAACGCGUGCACAACGGCAGGUGUUCCAACGGUACGCAGUUUGAGAAUCUCAAUCCUCGCGGCUAUGACCAUUGCCUGCCGUGAUCUGAAAAGAACACUGUCGUUCAGCUCUACAGCAGCCAGAGUUCCAACUUGCGACUUUUGAAAGUGUAUUGCAAAAAAAAAAACGCUUUCGUUUUUAAUAUACAGCUGCCGACAGUUGGCAUGUUGAUCUCUUAAAUUAUAAUACACUUGUAUUUAAUUUUA
rnacentral:misc_RNA from 1 species